rnacentral:tRNA from 1 species
UCCCUUAUAGCUCAGUUGGUAAAGAAUCUACCUGCAAUGCAGGAGAUCCUGGUUCGAUUCCUGGGUUGGGAA